ACCGAAUAGAUACCCGGGUAGUCCACGCCCUAAACUAUGCGAACUGGAUGUUGGGUACAUUACGGUACUCAGUGUCGAAAGCUAAACGCGUUAAGUUACGCCGCCUGGGGAGUACGGUCGCAAGACUGAAACUCAAAGGAAUUGACGGGGGCCCGCGACAAGCGGUGGAGUAUGUGGUUUAAUUCGAUGCAACGCGAAGAACCUUACCUGGCCUUGACAUCUGUCGAAUCCUGCAGAGAUGCGGGAGUGCCGCAAAGAACGACAAGACAGGUGCUGCAUGGCUGUCGUCAGCUCGUGUCGUGAGAUGUUGGGUUAAGUCCCGCAACGAGCGCAACCCUUGUCCCUAGUUGCCAGCACAUCAUGGUGGGAACUCUAGGGAGACUGCCGGUGACAAACCGGUGGAAGGUGGGGAUGACGUCAAGUCCUCAUGGCCCUUAC
rnacentral:rRNA from 1 species